ACAUCCGCCCGUCCGUACAACCAGAAAAGUCUAUAAGUCUCGGCACAAACUGCCUCUUGACAGAUCUGUAAAGGAGACAGUGAGGUUGUCAUUAUCUGGCCUCUGCAAGGAAGCAAGUUCGUGACAACAGUAGGCCUAUAUAAAAUCGUUCUCGGCAACACCUACAUUCACGAGAUUGGGAACCUACUUUCGUCGUCAACACCUAGUUGCGAUACCAGUUACACGCUGCUGGGUGAAAACUAAAGACAAACACGAUCGCUUGAGACACAUUGUCAGCUCCAAACACCAGCACUGUGACUGUAUUAACUUCAAAACCGUACACACUCUCAGGAGUCUUGUUUGUGUUUAUUCCCCCCCUACGCAGAAUGUUACCGGCUGCGAAGCAUUUGACGUACUGGCUGCUGGUCACGUUACUGGUGGUGUGCCUAGCAAGGAACUGUGCAGGGGGUGGGUGCCCCCCGCCACCUAUCAACUGUGAAGGCAGAAAUGCUGGCGAGAUGCGGUGGGGGAAAAGGGCACUUAUAGAUGGCAGGAACUCGGUUGUAGACCAGAUGGCACGGCCCGGCAGGGGAUACCCCGAGUCACAAUUGUCGAGCCCUAAGUAUCGCUUUCGGGAACUGCUCCGGCGAUUCACAAGAACCGACGACCACUAAGAUUUGGCCGAUAGCUUCGCUGUGCUACUUUCUACGGGAAAACUUCUGACGUUCUGACCCUGUUGAGAUGGUACUCGGAGAGGCACCGCCACCUCGAGACAACUGUCCAACAAAUCGUUUUUUUUUUUGGAUUAAAAUAUUACUUGGUUUAUGUUUACAAGGUUAUGAAUGAAAAGCUAGGGGCCAUAUGUUGCAUUUUUUGGGGAAAUCUUCUCUUGCGCUAAAACUUAAAAGAGCACAGAAUCAUAAUUCAUCGAUUACACAAUGUUUGGCUGUAAGCGGCAUUGGUAAAAGCUAUAUAACGUUUCUUGUGUAUCUGGUGUAUCGUGAUGACGAGAAAUUGCACAAAAAGUGGAUUAUUGUCAAGAAGCGGGUCUCUUUCAUAGCAAGUCAUAUUAAAGAAUAUUUUUGGACAAUCUAGAUAAAUAUUCAGACCCCGUGAAUCAAAGCGUUGGGAUCAAGUCGUUACGGAAGACACAACCUAUUUUACCCUUUGCCGAAAAGUCACGCCCAUGCUUAUGUAGUUAUAGAAACUCUUUUACCUACCGCAAAGCCUCUUUUUCAGGACCUCAUUAUGGAGUAUACACUAUUAUCAGUUCGAUACAAGAAACGAAAUGCUUCACAGUCCCUUGGCCGGUGCUUGUAGGGCGGCAAGCUAUUGAAAAUAACGAUUGUGUUGAAGUUGACUUUAAAUAUUUCAAUAAUAUUUAAAACUUGCACCCGUAAACAAGCAGUGAUUAUCUAUCGAUACGUAAUUUUCAUUAUACAAAGUAAAAAUUUCUCUUAGAAUCCAACAAAAGCGACAGAGCGCUAUCUUCAGAUUAUUUUUAAUGAGAUCAUUUUGGCCGCUUUGAGUGGUAGUUCUUUCGUAUGAAUUUGAACUACAUUUCAAUUCCUCUUGGCAAUUUUGUAAUCGCAAUUCGACGUUAACAACACUAACAAGAAAAAAUCCGUUGAUUAAGGUAUACAUUUAAUUCAUACAAUGACUGAGAACUUUUUCUUGUAAAUAAUAACAAAAACUAUAUUUGAAUCAUUGACGUAGCACUUACUUUGAAUAACAAGUAGCACAUUGCAUAAUUUAGAAGCAAAAAUGUUAUCAAUUAUUGAUUGAACUUAGCGGAAAACUUCGAACCGUCUUAUUUAUUUCACUGUUCGCCAACAUUUCGAAGAAAAAAUACAGUUAACUACAACCAAUCAGAUAAAAUUGGAGUCAGUUCCAAAGUUUGCUUUCAACUGCUUCGUUCAAAAGUCUGCUGUGCUGGGUGAAGUCCCGUUGAGAGACAAGUGUGAAAGUUUUGACAAGCACGUUGAAGUAAAUUUGUUGUUUUACACUCUUUAUUGGGGACAUUAAAGGACAAAAAUGCAACCACCUGUCUUGAAGCAAA